rnacentral:tRNA from 1 species
GCCUCCGUGGCUUAGUUGGUUAAAGCGCCUGUCUAGUAACAAGGAGAUCGUGAGUAGUUCGAAUCUCGCCGGGGCCU